rnacentral:rRNA from 1 species
UACGGAGGGAGUUAGCGUUGUUCGGAAUUACCGGGCGUAAAGCGCGCGUAGGUGGCUAUUCAAGUCAGAGGUGAAAGUCCGGGGCUCAACUCCGGAACUGCCUUUGAAACUAGAUAGCUAGAAUCUUGGAGAGGUCAGUGGAAUUCCGAGUGUAGAGGUGAAAUUCGUAGAUAUUCGGAAGAACACCAGUGGCGAAGGCGACUGACUGGACAAGUAUUGACGCUGAGGUGCGAAAGCGUGGGGAGCAAAC